rnacentral:tRNA from 1 species
CAGAGUGUAUAUCAAUUGGCGGAUUACCUGCAUUGGAAGCAGGAGGCUGUUGGUUCGAGUCCAGCCACUCUGAC